rnacentral:tRNA from 1 species
UAGAUUGGAGCUCGUUGGUGAGUAUUUAGCUGUUAACUAAGAGGUUAUAGGAUUAAAGCCUAUCAAUCUAA